GCGACCCCAGGAUGGGCGAGGCCACCCGCUGAGUUUAAGCAUAUCAAUAAGCGGAGGAGAAGAAACUUUACGAGGAUUCCCCUAGUAACGGCGAGCGAACAGGGGGAA
rnacentral:rRNA from 1 species